UCCCUACGGGAGGCAGCAGUAGGGAAUCUUCCACAAUGGGCGGGAGCCUGAACCAGCCAAGUCGCGUGAGGGAAGACGGUCCUACGGAUUGUAAACCUCUUUUGCCGGGGAGCAACGGGGUCCUUGCGAGGGCCCAAUGAGAGUACCCGGAGAAAAAGCAUCGGCUAACUCCGUGCCAGCAGCCGCGGUAAUACGGAGGAUGCGAGCGUUAUCCGGAUUUAUUGGGUUUAAAGGGUGCGUAGGCGGGCUGUUAAGUCAGCGGUCAAAUGUCGGGGCUCAACCCCGGCCUGCCGUUGAAACUGGCG
rnacentral:rRNA from 1 species